rnacentral:misc_RNA from 1 species
UUUCCGUAGGUGAACCUGCGGAAGGAUCAUUAUUGAAUGAACUUGGUAGUGGUUGUAGCUGGCUCUCUCGAGAGCAUGUGCACACCCGCCAUCUUUAUCUUUCCACCUGUGCACUUCUUGUAGACUUUGGGAUUUGAAAGCUUAUCCGGGGCAACUCGGUCGGGAGGAGCUGCUGUAGCAAUACGGCUCUCCUUGACAAGUCUUCAAAGUCUAUGUUUUUCAUAUACCCCAUAGUAUGUAACAGAAUGUAUACAAAUGAGCCUUAGUGCUUAUAAAACUUAUACAACUUUCAACAACGGAUCUCUUGGCUCUC